CCUACGGGUGGCAGCAGUGGGGAAUAUUGCACAAUGGGGGAAACCCUGAUGCAGCGACGCCGCGUGAGUGAAGAAGUAAUUCGGUAUGUUAAGCCCUUUCAGUAGGGAAGAAAAUGAAGGUACCUGAGUCAGAAGCCCCGGAUAACUACGGGCCAGCAGCCGCUGUAACACGUAGGGAGCAAGCGUAAUCCGGAUUUACUGGGUGUAAAGGGAGCGUAGACGGCAGUGCAAGUCUGGAGUGAAAGGCGGGGGCGCAACCCCCGGACUGCUCGUGAUACUGUACGGCUGGAGUGCAGGAGAGGGAAGUGGAAUUCGUAGUGUAGCGGUGAAAUGCGUAGAUAUUAGGAGGAACACCAGUGGCGAAGGCGGCUUACUGGACUGUAACUGACGUUGAGGCACGAAAGCGUGGGGAGCGAACAGGAUUAGAUACCCUGGUAGUC
rnacentral:rRNA from 1 species